UCAUUUUUUUUCUCAAUGCAAGUUUUAUAUCUAUAAACACACGUCUUACACUCUUCAAAUCACAAUCUUCUCAUUCAUUCAAAAUCUGAGAAGAUGAGCGUAUAGAAAAUCGUGUGUUCUUCAAAAAACUUCCUGCAAUUGCAGAUUGUUCUAUUCAACAAAAGGAGAAACGAGAGAGCUCGAAUUUCAAUUCCUCUCCUGUUGCUAGCAAGUUUUCUUCCUACCAAUUAAAGGGGGGUGAACUUUUGCACAUCAUUUGAGGUUGGAACGGAAAGUCGAUUGAGGAAUUAAGCGAACGAGGUGGACUUUCUUUUCAAAUAAGGACUAUGUCCUAAGUAUGUUUAUUUUUAAUGGUGCAAAAUAUGUUUGUCAUGCCAUAUUUUUG